UUUACCAAAUAUUGGAUUAGUGGUAAACAAGAUAUAAACGACAAGGAUGAAGAGAAGUAUUGACGGCAAAACUAAAAUGAAUGGAGAUUAUUCUGGGAUGAAUGGUGACAGCAAACCAAAGAAUGGUCAUCUGUAUUUAGCUGGGUAUGAUUUUGACUUAAAUAAUCUGCCGGCACGUGUAGCUCAAGGCACAAAAAAAAAAAUACAAGACAAGAGCAGACAACAUGAUUUAGCUUCACCUUGGUAGAGAACAGAUAUAUUAUACCAAGGAAUUGUAUUUUAAAUAUACAAUUCCUUGAUUAUACCAAUUACUUUCUAUCUACAAGAAAAUGUCAUGACCAUGUGACAAAAAUAUGAGGACAUAGAAAAGAGGUUAGAAAAUGCCCUUUUACUGUUAGGCUUCAAAUGUUAAUAUAUUUUACUAGUUAGCAUCAAAUUGUGAGUUGUCAAAAUAUCCUUGUUGUGAUAAUUAUCUGUUACGGUUAUUUUGGAGAAAAAUUAAUGUGAUUUGUCAAAAUCGGUCAUUUUUUUAUGGUAAUUAAGAAAUAUGCAUUUUAUCAGUAGGCACCAAAAAUUAUCGUUUACAUCAUUUGGCAAGAUUUUCCCCCAUUGCUCGCAAUGAAAGUACCCAAAACGACCCUAAGAAAAGAACAGAGAUUUGGAAAGGAAUAAGGAUAUAACAUGCAAUUUCCAAGAGUAUGUAUUGUUAAAAGUACCACGGCAUACAAACUUUAAACCUGUCAUUUAAAUGAUAUUAGGGAAACCUGUGUUCACCAAGUAUAGGUUUUCAUAAUGGAC
rnacentral:lncRNA from 1 species